GGGGCCAUGGCGGGACUGUCCCGCACCCUCGGCAUCUUCGGUGCCUUCGUGGCCGUGGUGGGAGCCGCAUUUUAYCCCAUUUACUUCCGGCCGCUGCUGCUGCCGGAGGAGUACAGGAAAGAACAGUCAAUAAACCGAGCUGGUGUUGUUCAAGAGAAUAUUCAGCCUGCAGGCUAAUUCUUCACUGAAAAUUUAUGGUUUUAAUGAAACUCAUCUUAAAUUGACUUAACUGGCCAAGGUUAAAAGUGUGGUCGGAUCCAUUUGGAAGAAAGUAAUGUUGGCAUCUGGAUGUAUUGCAAAGCUGAAGAUGGACAUCUUCGGCUGUUCCUUCUUGCACUGAAGUGUUUUUGGAUGUCUCUAGAGAAGAAUUCUGAAUAUGCUGCGUGGGCACAGGAGAAGCAACACAGGCUGCCCAAGAGCGAAAAACAUGCUGGUCUUGAGACAGAAUGCUGGUACAUAGCUCACAGACUGUUAAAGAGCUGAAUGAUUCUUGAGGAUAGAAAUGAAAUAUUUAUUUCCUUGAGAAAGAAAAAAUAUUUUCUUCUAAUCUGUAGACACUUGCAGAAUAAAUUAUGAAYAGAAUAGAUCAUGCAGGCUGCUGCACUUUCCUCCCUAGUUUGAAAGUUGCAACAUGGUGAGUGUAAAUUUGUACAUUAAAAUUUUUAAACCGGUGUGUACUUUUGUUCAUUGUUUUGCAAGUGUGUGUGGAAGGUACCUUGGCCACCCGCCAGGUGUCCCCCUGGCCAUUCUUACUCUUGCUCCUCCACAGGACUGGGAGAGUUAGUAGAACGACAAAGUUUCUGGGUCUGGAUAAACACAGGGAGAUUGCUUACUGAUUACUUUUGCAGGCAAAACAGACUCAACUUGGUGAAAAUUAUUGUUGCUAAGUAGGUAGCAUUGUGACACACAGCAUUUUAAAGACCACUGCAGCAUCCGGUAUGUGUUGAAGAAUGU